rnacentral:rRNA from 1 species
UAGGGAAUCUUCGGCAAUGGACGGAAGUCUGACCGAGCAACGCCGCGUGAGUGAAGAAGGUUUUCGGAUCGUAAAGCUCUGUUGUUAGAGAAGAACGUUGGUAGGAGCGGAAAAUCUACCAAGUGACGGUAACUAACCAGAAAGGGACGGCUAACUACGUGCCAGCAGCCGCGGUAAUACGUAGGUCCCGAGCGUUGUCCGGAUUUAUUGGGCGUAAAGCGAGCGCAGGCGGUCCUUUAAGUCUGAAGUUAAAGGCAGUGGCUUAACCAUUGUACGCUUUGGAAACUGGAGGACUUGAGUGCAGAAGGGGAGAGUGGAAUUCCAUGUGUAGCGGUGAAAUGCGUAGAUAUAUGGCGGAACACCGGUGGCGAAAGCGGCUGUCUGGUCUGUAACUGACGCUGAGGCUCGAAAGCGUGGGGAGCAAACAGG